rnacentral:rRNA from 1 species
CUCCGUAGGUGAACCUGCGGAGGGAUCAUUACACAAAUAUGAAGGCGGGCUGGAACCUCUCGGGGUUACAGCCUUGCUGAAUUAUUCACCCUUGUCUUUUGCGUACUUCUUGUUUCCUUGGUGGGUUCGCCCACCACUAGGACAAACAUAGACCUUUUGUAAUUGCAAUCAGCGUCAGUAACAAAUUAAUAAUUACAACUUUCAACAACGGAUCUCUUGGUUCUGGCAUCGAUGAAGAACGCAGCGAAAUGCGAUAAGUAGUGUGAAUUGCAGAAUUCAGUGAAUCAUCGAAUCUUUGAACGCACAUUGCGCCCUUUGGUAUUCCAAAGGGCAUGCCUGUUCGAGCGUCAUUUGUACCCUCAAGCUUUGCUUGGUGUUGGGCGUCUUGUCUCUAGCUUUGCUGGAGACUCGCCUUAAAGUAAUUGGCAGCCGGCCUACUGGUUUCGGAGCGCAGCACAAGUCGCACUCUCUAUCAGCAAAGGUCUAGCAUCCAUUAAGCCUUUUUUUCAACUUUUGACCUCGGAUCAGGUAGGGAUACCCGCUGAACUA